rnacentral:rRNA from 1 species
GCAGUCGAACGAAGCACUUAAGCCUGAUUCUUCGGAUGAAGGUUUUUGUCGCUGAGUGGCGGACGGGUGAGUAACGCGUGGGUAACCUGCCUCAUACAGGGGGAUAACAGUUAGAAAUGACUGCUAAUACCGCAUAAGACCACGGAGCCGCAUGGCUCAGUGGGAAAAACUCCGGUGGUAUGAGAUGGACCCGCGUCUGAUUAGGUAGUUGGUGGGGUAACGGCCUACCAAGCCAACGAUCAGUAGCCGACCUGAGAGGGUGACCGGCCACAUUGGGACUGAGACACGGCCCAAACUCCUACGGGAGGCAGCAGUGGGGAAUAUUGCACAAUGGGGGAAACCCUGAUGCAGCGACGCCGCGUGAGCGAAGAAGUAUUUCGGUAUGUAAAGCUCUAUCAGCAGGGAAGAAAAUGACGGUACCUGACUAAGAAGCACCGGCUAAAUACGUGCCAGCAGCCGCGGUAAUACGUAUGGUGCAAGCGUUAUCCGGAUUUACUGGGUGUAAAGGGAGCGUAGACGGCUGUGUAAGUCUGAAGUGAAAGCCCGGGGCUCAACCCCGGGACUGCUUUGGAAACUAUGCAGCUAGAGUGUCGGAGAGGUAAGUGGAAUUCCCAGUGUAGCGGUGAAAUGCGUAGAUAUUGGGAGGAACACCAGUGGCGAAGGCGGCUUACUGGACGAUGACUGACGUUGAGGCUCGAAAGCGUGGGGAGCAAACAGGAUUAGAUACCCUGGUAGUCCACGCCGUAAACGAUGACUACUAGGUGUCGGGGAGCAAAGCUCUUCGGUGCCGCAGCAAACGCAAUAAGUAGUCCACCUGGGGAGUACGUUCGCAAGAAUGAAACUCAAAGGAAUUGACGGGGACCCGCACAAGCGGUGGAGCAUGUGGUU